AAAGAAACCAACCGGGAUUGCCUCAGUAACGGCGAGUGAAGCGGCAAGAGCUCAAAUUUGAAAGCUGGCUCCUUCGGGGUCCGCAUUGUAAUUUGCAGAGGAUGCUUCGGGUGCGGCCCCUGUCUAAGUGCCCUGGAACGGGCCGUCAGAGAGGGUGAGAAUCCCGUCUGGGAUGGGGUGUCCGCGCCCGUGUGAAGCUCCUUCGACGAGUCGAGUUGUUUGGGAAUGCAGCUCUAAAUGGGUGGUAAAUUUCAUCUAAAGCUAAAUAUUGGCCGGAGACCGAUAGCGCACAAGUAGAGUGAUCGAAAGAUGAAAAGCACUUUGAAAAGAGAGUUAAACAGCACGUGAAAUUGUUGAAAGGGAAGCGCUUGCGACCAGACUCGCCCGCGGGGUUCAGCCGGCAUUCGUGCCGGUGUACUUCCCCGUGGGCGGGCCAGCGUCGGUUUGGGCGGCCGGUCAGCGGCUCCCGGAAUGUAGCGCCUCUCGGGGCGCCUUAUAGCCGGGGGUGCAGUGCGGCCAGCCUGGACCGAGGAACGCGCUUCGGCACGGACGCUGGCAUAAUGGUCGUAAACGAC
rnacentral:rRNA from 1 species